UACAGAGGGUGCGAGCGUUGUCCGGAAUCACUGGGCGUAAAGGGCGCGUAGGUGGCCUGGUAAGUAGGGGGUGAAAUCUCGAGGCUCAACUUCGAGGCUGCCUCCUAAACUGUCAGGCUUGAGCAGAGUAGAGGCAGGUGGAAUUCCCGGUGUAGCGGUGGAAUGCGUAGAGAUCGGGAAGAACAUCGGUGGCGAAGGCGGCCUUCUGGACGGAUACUGACGCUGAGACGCGAAAGCGUGGGGAGCAAACAGG
rnacentral:rRNA from 1 species